rnacentral:lncRNA from 1 species
AACUUCAUUAGCACAGUGGAGGCUGGAGCCUGCCGUGGCUCACCUCGCUGCUGCCGUUGGUGCGGGCCAGGGAGACUAGAGCGCAGCCAGAAUGGCUUUCUUGGCUUUGCCUGCCCAGUUGUUUCAUGCCAGGAGGAGGAGCCGCCUGCUGGAGGCUGGAGCUUGUGGCACCACCGCUCGCCUCGCUGUGGUUGGUGGCGGCCAUGGAGACUAAAGACUCAGCGCUGGAGUGGUGGCGCUGUGUGGAAGUUUAUGAAGAGACCUGGUCCGGAUCCAAGCUUUCUGUCCCCGUUCUACUUUCUGAAACGCCCACCAAAAGACACGGGCCCCUGGCAUCUCAUAACCACUCAGUUAGUCAUCAUUUCUGUUUUUUAAUAGCUGAGGAUAUCCUGACUACUUGCUCUUCACAAGAUUAUUAUAAAUUAUACUAGUUUAAAUUCAAAGGCAAAGUUUCCCCCUUCCUGCUCCCUGGAAACCUUUAUCCCUGAAUGACAUGGCUAAAUGGCUAAGCUCUCCUGCACCCAAUGCCCUGAUCAAGUGUUUCUUCCUGUAGGGGCCUUUCCUUUUGCCCCAAGGCAAAUCCUUUCUCUGUUGUCCUCCCCUGGCAAUUUAUAAACACUUGUAACA